ACGUAGGUGGCAAGCGUUGUCCGGAUUUACUGGGCGUAAAGAGCGCGCAGGCGGCCAGGUCAGUCGAAUGUGAAAGCCCCCGGCUCAACUGGGGAAGGUCGUUCGAUACUGCUUGGCUCGAAGGUAGGAGAGGGAAGUGGAAUUUCAGGUGUAGUGGUGAAAUGCGUAGAUAUCUGAAGGAACACCAGUGGCGAAGGCGACUUUCUGGCCUAUUCUUGACGCUGAGGCGCGAAAGCUAGGGGAGCGAACGGG
rnacentral:rRNA from 1 species